UUUCGCCAGAAAAGAAAGAAAACUAAUGUAAAAGACAGGAAAAUUUUGAUGCAUUUCCGUUUACGCGCAGAGAAAUUUUGAUGCUUUGUUUCCCACCCUCACAGUGAGCAAAAUAGGGAAGGUCGAAAACCCUAAGAAUUGAAGGAAUGUCGAAGAAAGUGGUGACAAGGAGAGAGCUGUUGGACCGAUGGAGGGGCAUCGAAGAAGAAGACGACAACGACAUUGACCUUCUCAAGCGACAUCGUUUCCGCCACCUCAAAGAAGAAUGGUUUUCAGAUGCAUUCAACUACUUGAUCUUUUUGCCCGAAGAAAAUCAUAUUUGGUGUGGUUCCUGGGACCUGAUGGGACCUCUUCUGGAGACUUUCUAUAAUUAUUUUAAGGAUGAUCGCAGUGAUUCUCCUCUAAAGCUCCUACGGGACAGAACAUCUAGGGAAAUGCGCCAGUGCACUCAAUGUAUAUGUCAAUACCAUCAAGCCCAAGAGCUUUAUAGUACAGAAUAUGACCCUAGUACCAUUGGUCCUCUUCUUGAGGUCUUGCGCACUCUUGACGAAGAAAGAAUCAGUCAACAUCUUAAAGAGAUUAAUAACAGAAUAAGAUGUGGAGAGUACAACAUAGUGCAUGGCAGUGGAGAAAUUGUUAGCGUCAUGUUUGAGGUUUUGAUGUUCCCGAUUUUGUUAGAUGAUUCUUAUUUGGCAAGUGAAUUUGAGACAUUCAUUGACGCAAUAGAUAAAACUCAUGAACUGACCUUGGGUGGACACCAGCAGUAUCCGGGAGUUUAUGCAUUACUUUUCCAUAAAGGCCGAAGAACUCGUUCUAUAGGUUUGCGAUUGGCUGGACGCAUGAGUAAAUUGAGGCAAUCUGCAGAUUUGGAUGCUUUGCAGCCUUUGUUGAAGAAAUACAUUUCUUAUUUGGCAACAGACGUUUUGCCAUCAUCUACUCCGAAUCCAAGGCCUAGGGUUGAGUUGGAUCGAGUAACUGUAUGGCUUGGGAUCAAAGCAUUGCUUGGAUUCUUGGAGCCUCCAACUUUUGAAGAAGGCAUUUUAGAUCGCUAUCCCAUUUUUCUGAGUGUCGUUCUCAACCAUAUUAGUGAUGAUUCACCAGAGUUUUCUUAUGCAGUUAAUUGUCUAAGAUUAUUGUUUGAGAUGCUUGGAUAUAAGCUUUGGUUGAAGACUUCACUAUCUCCAAGUGUGAUGCGCAACACACUAUUGGGUCAGUGUUUCCACACUCGAAAUGAGAAAAGCCAUAAGGAAAUUUUUGAUCUUUUCCAGCCUUUUCUACAGUCUCUUGAAGCUUUACAAGACGGAGAACAUGAAAAGCAACGGAGAAAUCUUCUUUAUUUUCUCCUGCAUCAAGUUACUGCGAGUAGUAACUUCAGCUUGCUCAUGAGAAAAAAGGCUUGCCAGAUAGCUCUUCUCAUAGUUCACCGAGGUUAUACUAUGAACCCGCCUUCUCCGCCAUAUGAAUGUGCACAUAUGUGGGGACCUUCUCUUGUGUGCUCUCUGAAAGAUUCAUCACUUCACAGUUCUCUCCGUCAACCUGCCUUUGAUGUUAUUCAAACUAUUUUAGUUUCUGAUGCUUCAGCUCUGGUAACUUCAAUUCUGAAGUAUCAACUUGCUACGAGUGAUGAAAGAUGCUUGCCGUUCCAGCUUGAUGAAGAAGAGGGCCAAGGAAAUUUGUUUGGUUGUGAUUUUGAAGAAUAUGAUGUCAGUUGUUGGAAGGAGUUUAGUUCUCAAGCUGAUAUAACAUCAGAUUUAUGUGGGGAUUGGAUGUGCGUCCCAAUGUUGUGGUUUGAGGUUUUAGUUGAAAUUGAUCCCUUGAUUCUUCCAGUAUCAUUUGCUAAGGCUGUUUUCUGGGCUUUGUCACGCCUUUCUUUACUAGAAUCUGAUAAUGACUCUGAUAUUGAACCUUCAGUUGGUCAUUGGUUGAGAACCUGUGGUUCAGAUAUCUCUCAGGUUUUGAAUUGGAAGGUUCCAUCUGGUUCAAAUGAUGGUGGCGAGGGAGUGGAAUAUAAAAACUCCAUUAAGGUCUCAACAAAGUGUAUACCUUUAAUUAGGCUUUUCAAGAGGUCGACUGCUCAUUUCAUCAUCAGAAUGGAGCAAGGGGAGCUAAGGAAGCAGUGGACAUGGGAGCCCAUGAUGAGUGACAGUUUGAUUCUUCUGCUCGUGGAUUCCAACGAUAAUGCUAGACAUGUUGGUCGGUGUAUUCUUGAACAAGUUUCAAAUACACGAGGCCUAACAAGUGGACUGCAGUUUCUUUGCUCCAGCCAAUCUUCACUCUCAGCUACCUUUACAGGGUUAAGGCAUGGUCUAAAGCUGGUUCAGUUGGACUGCGUUCUAUCGGAAUUUCAGACUUUGCAUCAUUUCUUUUUUGUUUUGUGCAAACUACUAAAAGAAGGGAAUUCGUGUACCCAACCUCUAGUCAGAAAAUCAUCUGAGGACUCUAGUAUCUCAAAAUUUUCUUCUCAAGGGGGAUUCCUAAAGCAGCCAGUGGUGCAAACUCAAACUGAGCACAUGGACGCACAUAAAUCAGUUGUCAGUUCCAUUUUAUGGGAGAAAUUUUGUUGCUUACUCUCAGAAAUGGCUUGGAUCUCUGUUCAGAAGUGCUUGUCAGCUGGGAAGGUGUUUAUAGAUCAAAAACCAUCUCAGAUGACCUGCAUCAGAUUAUUAGAGACCCUUCCUGUUGUUUUUGGAAGGCUUUGCCGAGAUCCGACUACAGUGCUUAAUAAUGCAGUGACACAAUGUCUUUCUGAUCUGAUAGAUUGGGGGCAUUCACCACUUGCAGUAGUGGUCAGAUAUUGGAAAGAUGCUUUAAUUUCAUUGCUGAUUCUGAUUAAAGCAUCAUGCAGCGGUGUCCCUGCCUCAUUAGCCGCAGAUAUUGAGAAACUUAUUUCAUGUGAUAAUAUUCCAAUGAAUGUGUUGAACAAACAAGUUGCUCGGCUUUCUGUUUCACUUGUGGAUGGGAGUUACACUGACUUGAAAAAAACUAGUGUUGAUUUCAAAUGUUUGCCUGGUGAAGAAUCUGUUCUUGCUGACAACUCUUUAGCUGAAGCAGCCAAGCCUUUUAGUGGGGUUGGUAAAAGAAUGCAUAUUCCAGACUUGAAAACAUUAGUUGGUGAGGAAAGAAGUAAUUUGAUAGUUAAUUCAGGUGAUGAAACAGAAACAGAUACGUCUGCUGGUGCUGAUAUCAAUUCUGGUGUCAGCUUCGAUCCUAAACCUGUUGGCCAUAUUGCUGGGAGAGUUUUGUAUUCUGAUCCUGUGAAAGAAAUUGACUCCAGGAAGAUUUCUCAGCCAGUUGAUCUUUGUUUGGAUCUGGAUAUCCAAAGACUUGAAUUAGAUGCUCUACAGGCUUCGCCUCUUGCCAAAUCAAAAGCUAUGGAGCCUAAGAGCAAGGGAACUGAUAUCAAUUGCCAUUUAAAUUGUAUAAAUCUGAAUUCCAAAGAAAAUAGUUCUGUCACCUCUGAGCUUCGUUCUGCUGUAGGGAGCUCAUCUCAUGGAGGCGUGAGUAUGAAAGAGAAUGAUGGGAAAGCUGAUGAACGGGUUAUAAAAAGUAAUGAUGCAGUCUUGAAAGAGCUUGUAUGUGAAAACAAAAGUGAUCGGGAGUUAGCUUUUCUCACUUCAGCUAGACGUCAACAAUCAUUCUCCAUAAAAACAGGUCUCUCCGGGCCGAAAAGGAAAGUCAUUCAACUCAGCUUGCCAGUUGAUAAUAAGUCUAAUGCUUUGAGAUUGGAUGAUGGAGUGAAGAGAUUUAAAGCUGUGAGGCUUGAUGAUUGGUAUAGACCUAUUCUAGAGUUCAAUUACUUUUUAACAGUUGGAUUGACAACUGAAGGUGCAGGAAAGAAUGAUAGUUUGAGUAAAUUAAAGGAGGUUCCUGUUCGUUUCCAAUCUGUUGAUGAAUAUGUUGAAAUUUUCCGUCCACUUAUAUUGGAGGAGUUUAAAGCACAACUGCAGAGUUCCUUUCAGGAGAUAACUUCUCUAGAAGAGAUGUCUUGCGGCAGUCUUUCUGUAAUGUCAGUUGAAAGAAUUGAUGAUUUUCACUUCAUUCGCUGUGUUCACGAGGAUGUUGAUUCAGCUGGUUCUAAAAGCUGCUCAGACAAUGAUCUUAUUUUGCUUACACGACAACCCCUGAGGAAUUCUUGUCCGGAUAUUCACAUCGUGGGAAAGGUGGAAAAACGUGAAAAAGAUUGUAAGAGGAGAUCAAGUAUCGUACUCAUCAGGUUGUACUUGCAAAAUAGACCUCAUCUGAUGCGAGCUCGAAAGUUUCUUGUUGAGCGAAGCAAAUGGUGCAUUAGUCGGCUAAUGACCAUAACUUCUCAACUCAGAGAAUUUCAAGCAUUGUCGGCUAUUAGGGGAAUCCCUUUGCUUCCUGUUAUCUUGAAUCCCACCAGUUACGAUCACAGUAAGCACUGCGGUGAGAGUUUCAAUAAACUAUCUCGACCUUUGCAGCAAGUCCUCAAAACGGCAUAUAAUGACAGUCAACUGCAAGCUAUCAGUGCUGCUAUUGGACCUUUUGAUCCUAAAAAGGAUUUUCAAUUAUCCCUAAUACAGGGUCCUCCAGGUACCGGGAAGACCCGAGUGAUCGUGGCCAUUGUCAGUUCUUUGCUUGCUUUCUCCCAAGUGGACACCAAGAGAUCAUCAAAUGGAGGUCCAAAGUCUACUGGAAUGUCUCGCACUGCUUCAAGACAGCGGAUUUGUCAAGCUGCAGCUGUUGCUAGGGCAUGGCAGGACGCAGCCUUGGCUAGACAACUUAACGAAGAUUUAGAGAAUGAUAAACCAAUGGGAAACUGUAGUAAAAGAAGAAUACUCAUCUGUGCACAAUCAAAUGCUGCUGUAGAUGAACUAGUGUCCAGGAUAACCAGUGAAGGCCUUUAUGGCAGUGAUGGGACGAUGUAUAAGCCUUAUAUCGUUAGAGUAGGUAAUGCGAAAACAGUUCAUCCUAAUUCAUUGCCGUUCUUCAUUGAUACACUUGUUGAUCACCGCAUAGCUGAGGAGAAAAUGAAUGCAACCGAUUCAACGAAUGAUGCCGACAAGGAUACUUUGACAUUCUUGCGGUCUAAUCUUGAGAAGUUGGUUGAUACUAUCAAAUGUUAUGAAGCUAAAAGAGCUAGUUUACGGGAUGGAAAUUCUGAUUCCAACUGUUUAUUGGAAGGAGACACUGAUAAAGCAGAUAAUGCAAAGGAAUUGUCUGAUGCAGAAGUAGAAGCAAAGCUGAGAAUAUUAUAUGAAAAAAAGAAAUCAAUAUACAUGGAUCUCGCUGCUGCUCAGGCACGGGAGAAGAAAGCUAAUGAAGAAACAAAAGCUCUUAGACAAAAAUUACGGAAGGCUAUACUAAAAGAGGCUGAGAUUGUGGUGACUACACUGAGUGGCUGUGGUGGAGAUCUGUAUGGGGUUUGUGCAGCAUCUGUGUCCAGCCAGAGAUUUAGCAGUUCAUCGGAGGGUGUCCUAUUUGAUGCAGUUGUGAUUGAUGAAGCUGCUCAAGCUCUGGAACCUGCUUCCCUCAUACCACUUCAACUCUUAAAAUCAAAGGGAACUAGAUGUGUGAUGGUGGGUGAUCCAAAGCAGCUUCCAGCCACGGUUCUCUCUAACAUUGCCAGCAAAUUUUCUUUCCAAUGUAGCAUGUUUGAACGCUUGCAAAGGGCUGGUUAUCCUGUCAACAUGCUCACACGGCAGUAUAGGAUGCACCCGGAGAUAUGCCGCUUUCCUUCUUUCCAUUUUUAUGAUGGUAAAUUGGUUGAUGGAGACCAGUUAUCCAGCAAAGUUGCAUCAUUUCAUGGCACUAAGGGCCUUGGUCCCUAUGUAUUCUUUGAUGUUGUGGAUGGGAAGGAGCUCCAUGAUAAAAAAUCUGGCACAUUAUCCCUCUACAAUGAGUGUGAGGCUGAUGCUGCAGUUGAAGUGUUAAGAUUUUUCAAGAGGAGGUUCCCAUCUGAGUUUGUUGGUGGAAGAAUUGGUAUUAUAACUCCUUAUCGGUGUCAGCUUUCUCUACUACGCUCUCGAUUUUCAAGUGCAUUUGGAUCUUCUAUCACUGCUGACAUGGAGUUUAAUACAGUCGAUGGUUUUCAAGGUCGAGAAGUUGAUAUAGUUAUACUCUCCACUGUGAGGGCAUUCGAGGCAUGCUCGAAUGCAACACAGAUUAAUUCUAGCCGUAUUGGUUUUGUGGCUGAUGUAAGGCGGAUGAAUGUUGCUUUGACUAGGGCAAGGCUGUCUUUGUGGAUCAUGGGUAACGCAAGGACAUUGCGGACGAACCAAAACUGGGCAGCUUUAGUGAAGAAUGCAAAAGAAAGAGAGUUAGUGAUGUCACUUAAAAGACCAUAUAAUGCUACUUUUAAAUCAUGUGAUCUGGAGAAACAUUUGACUUUAGAUAAACCAGAAAACUAUUCAAGGAAUUUGAAGCAUGUUAAAGGGGCUGAAGCCACAUAUGAGCAUGCUGAUAGACAAAAGAAGAAUGUAAAGCAUGUGACAGAUAGGAAAAGAAAAGACGCCAGCUUUGGAGCUCCAAUUGACACUCCAGUACGUGCUGAUCUGUCUGGAAAAAACGUUGAGGGGGAACAAAGAUCUAAAGAUGAAAAUAGUCUUUUGUUGGAAAAGGAUCUCGAUAAUUAUGAUGGCAGAAAUACCAAGGGUGUGCAUAUUUUACUCGGGAAAAAUCAAUCAGAAUCAAGUGAAAGUUGCGAAAAGAUCAGUAAGAAGCACAGGAAAGAGAGGAAAGUACAUGGGCAUUGCGGAAAACAAUGUGACAGCUUAGAGAGUAACUCGGGGAAUUCAAAGAAGUCAGGGAGUGAUAACCAUAAACAUUCUAUAUCUGUUGCAUCUGAAAAAGUUCAAGAACCUUUGGAACGCGAUGAUAAACUGCAGAAUACGAGAGGUUGGAAGAAGCCUGCUACGACAACUCUUCUGCAGAAGGAUGUGGAAGAUGGGAUUGGAGCUUGUAAUCAGGUUAAAAAACCUGAUCAUAUAAUAUCAGAGAGGAAGCAACAACGUGAUGCUGUUGAUGCUCUUCUUUCUUCAGCACUAAUAUCUUCGAACAAGUCUAGGUCUUCACUAAGAUCUUUGCCUGCUAAAAGGACGAGUUCACCAAAUGCUGGAGGCCCUCCAAUUAGACCACCUAAGCAAAAUAAGGUAAUGUCUUUAAGUCACUGAUCAAGUUCGAGAGAUGAUCAGAAGUUACAUCUUCCUCAUUCUAUCCCAUAAUUAUUGUCCUCUUUGCACGAUCGAUGGUUAAUGUGACUAUCUGACAAAGUGAAACCACAGGCGGUGAAGUUAAAUUUUGAAAAUAGUCUUAGACGUUCAUCAUUAACUAUAUGAGAAAUGCGAGCUUUUUGAACUUUUCACAUUUUAAAAUGUUAAAUAUUGAUUUUUUUUUUUUUGGUUAAACUUGGAACUAAUUAAGCUGGAUUCUUGAAAGAGUAACGGUCAUUCAACCUAAGAUGGCCAACUAUAUAAAUUGUCAAAUUCGUUUCUCUGUUUGGACCCAUUUCAUAUAUUGUCUUACUUCUACUAAUCCGAAUUUUUCUUUCUUGAAAAAGGUAAUGAUUGGUUCCACAAAAUAACACAAAGGGAGUGCUGUAAAUUCUUUACACGUGAGCUAAAACCCAGAAGUAUGACCCUCUGAACUUAGACAGACUCUAUGAGCUCUAAUAAGUUUCUGCCUCGUUAGGAUAUUCCAGUUUACGCCAAGAAUGAAACAACAAAGGAAAAUCUAACUUAUAAUCCUCUGUAAUAAUUUGUGCUUCUCUUCAAAACACCUGGAGUUCCUAAAAUUAUUAUUCUACUAAUCAUAAAAUUAUAUUCUCAUGCAUGCUUCUCCUUAGUUUAAGUUUUUGCUUGAGUUGGCAGCUGGUUUAAUCAAUUAACUCGGUAUUAUCUGCAACUAGCUUGAAGUAUAAGAUCUUAUCGUCUAUACAUUGGUUAGCGUAUCCGUGAACAAAUAAGGGUUCAAGCCAGAGCUAUGUGUAAUUGUGCUAUUACAGAAAAUUCCUGUGUAUCUCCUUACUGUUCUCACCCUUGCUAUGUCUCCUAUGUAUACAUAUACAUAAUGAAUAUCAAGUGGAUACAUCACAAAUUCUUAUCUAUCUUCUUAUCAUCCCUGUUAUAUUUCUACUAGGCAUAAAUUCUGAAUUGGUUCACUAUCAUCCUUGUAAUGCUACAAAGUGUGUGGUCUAUCACUCUUUCUGAAAGUUUCAUCAUAUGACUUAUACAAGUUUGGUAACACUAUAGUUUGCUCAACUUUGGAUAUCUUCUAGGUUCUUAUAUCGUAUUUAAUGUACUCUUUCUCUACUCGUUUGGAAAAUUUCCACUGCGUAAUAUAUGUCGUUGAAUAGCGUGAUGAUACUGCUCCAACCACUGCUUAAAGUGUCUAUCUUCCGCGGAUGUUUGCAGAUCCUUAAACUUAUCCUUUAAGAUUUGAGUGGUCCAGUAUAUCAUAGUAGCACCUUUACCUCUCUCUCAUCUCGCUGUUCUGUGGCAAAACUUCUCUAUCAUUCGUGUGAGCUUUAUGUUUCUUUCUCCUUGUCCCAUGUCCCCAACUUUCGGUACGAGUCAUCUAGAGUUUUACCUGAGGCAUUGGUAACAACCUUCUUAGCUUCUCUCUUAACUCUGUUACACUCUUCAAAGAUUUUACCGUCUUUUGCUUUUUGUAACUACCUCUACAGCUAUACAACAAUAGCUUUUUGUCCUUAUUCCAUCACAAUGAUUCUUUCAAGGCCUUUGGAAACAUCUAGAACUUUACCAUCGUGGUGCCUCUUUUUGUUUGUUAUGCUGAAGGUAUGUGUGACUUUCGACUUUUAUAAAAGUUUUAGUUUUUUUUUUUUUUUUUUUAAACAGUUAAGCUGGGAACUCUAUUCCUAUUAGAUGGAGGAUGCACUUCAAUUUACUAUCUGUCUUUGCAAGUAUGUUAGCAUUUGUUGAUACUACCUCUCUGGAUAUUCAUCAUUCAAAAGCAUCCCUUUAACCUAACUUUUCCAUAUUCAACAAUUAUGCCCUAUGCCUAGGCCCAAUUUUCUGAUACCGUUGGGCUGUUUCGUUGCCCAUUCUUGCUUUGACCCGCUAUGUAUAUUCUUGGUCUGAAUUUUCAAAUAGUAGGUAGAUGCUGCAACAGUAGUGUCCUUGGUGCUUUCUACAUCUCAUGAAAACGUUUUACUUUUACAGAGCUAGUUGCAACUUCUUCUUAUGCAAGGACAGUCAAAUUCAUCAAGGUCGUCAAGAGUGAGAGGUCUGUUGGUUUCAGAGGGGCCGGUUGACACAUUUUGAGGUGUGCAGCGUGGAUAGUUUCUUCUUCAGAGUUCCCAUUCAAUGUAGAUAUAGGAGUUCCUUUUUCUUUUUGUUGCAACAAGGUAAAGUGUGCCAUAGGAAAUCUUUAACAAUGGGAAGUGUGAUGCAGGUUGUGUGCCUUGAAACUAGCCUCUGGCUAUGAUUGUUUCUCUGCAGAUGGAAUUUCAUGUAGAUCUGUGAAUCAAAAGGUCGAUGCCUGCAAAUUACUCCGAUUGCUUGUUACCA